UACGUAGGGGGCUAGCGUUGUCCGGAUUUAUUGGGCGUAAAGAGCGUGUAGGCGGCCAGGUAGGUCUGCUGUGAAAACUCGAGGCUCAACCUCGAGACGUCGGCGGAAACCAUCUGGCUAGAGUCCGGAAGAGGAGAGUGGAAUUCCUGGUGUAGCGGUGAAAUGCGCAGAGAUCAGGAAGAACACCGGUGGCGAAGGCGCUCUGCUAGGCCGUAACUGACACUGAGGGACGAAAGCUAGGGGAGCGAAUGGG
rnacentral:rRNA from 1 species